UACAGAGGUCCCAAGCGUUGUUCGGAUUCACUGGGCGUAAAGGGUGCGUAGGUGGUUAGGUAAGUCCGAUGUGAAAUCUCCAGGCUCAACCUGGAAAUGGCAUUGGAUACUAUCUAGCUUGAGGAGUGGAGGGGGAACUGGAAUUCUCGGUGUAGCAGUGAAAUGCGUAGAUAUCGAGAGGAACACCAGUGGCGAAGGCGAGUCCCUGGACACUUCCUGACACUGAGGCACGAAAGCUAGGGGAGCAAACAGG
rnacentral:rRNA from 1 species